CUUUUUUGUUUGGAGGCAAGGUCUCACUAAAUUGAGCUCCUGAUCCUCUUGCCUCAGCCUCCCUCGGUGCUGGGACUACAGACCCAUUCCACUGUCAAGAUCUCCCAUGCAGUAUGGACUACAGAACUAUCCAGAGAAGUUAAACAACUUGGACAAGGUCACACCCACGUCAGAUGAUGGAGCCCAGAUUAGACUGGAGAGCUGAUUCUCAAGUGUAUGCUCAUGAUACGGUGAAUAAAUAUUUGG